rnacentral:tRNA from 1 species
UCCCUGAUGGUUCAGUGGUUAAGAAUCUGCCUGCCAGCGCAGGGGAUGCAGGUUUGAUCCCCGCUCUGGGAA